rnacentral:rRNA from 1 species
GAUGAACGCUGGCGGCGUGCCUAAUACAUGCAAGUCGAGCGAACGGACGAGACGCUUUCUUCUCUUCUGUUAGCGGCGGGCGGGUGAUUAAUACGUAGAUAACCUACCUAUAAGGCUGGCAUAACUUCGGGAAACCUAAUCUCGUACCGGUUCAUAUUUUGAACCUCAUGGUUCUUCAGUGCUCGACCUUCUUGCUGUCCCUUAUUGAUGGUUCCGCGCUGCAUUAGCUAGUUGGUAAGGUAACGGCUUACCAAGGCGACGAUGCGUAGCCGAUCUGAGAGGAUGAUCAGCCACACUGGAACUGAGACACGGUCCAGACUCCUACGGGAGGCAGCAGUAGGGAAUAUUGGACAAUGGGCGAAAGCCUGACGGAGCAACGCCGCGUGAGUGAUGAAGGUCUUCGGAUCGUAAAGCACUGUAAUUAGGGAAGAACAGAAGUGUGAGAAAAUGUGGAUAUCUUGACGGUACCAAAACAGAAAGCAACGGCUAACUACGUG